ACUGUCGAAAAUUAUUGCUUCUUAAUGACAAUCGAAGCGAUUGCAUCGGCAGCCAGAAGGCUGGUUCUCAUCG
rnacentral:ribozyme from 1 species